rnacentral:rRNA from 1 species
CCUACGGGAUGCUGCAGUGAGGAAUAUUGGUCAAUGGACGAGAGUCUGAACCAGCCAAGUAGCGUGAAGGAUGACUGCCCUAUGGGUUGUAAACUUCUUUUAUAAAGGAAUAAAACGAGGCACGUGUGCCUUUUUGCAUGUACUUUAUGAAUAAGGCUCGGCUAACUCCGUUCCAUCAGCCGCGGUAAUACGGAGGAUCCGAGCGUUAUCCGGAUUUAUUGGGUUUAAAGGGAGCGUAGAUGGGUUGUUAAGUCAGUUGUGAAAGUUUGCGGCUCAACCGUAAAAUUGCAAUUGAUACUGGCAGUCGUGAGUACAGUUGAGGUAGGCGGAAUUCGUGGUGUAGCGGUGAAAUGCUUAGAUAUCACGAAGAACUCCGAUUGCGAAGGCAGCUUACUAAACUGCCACUGACAUUGAUGCUCGAAAGUGUGGGUAUCAAACAGGAUUAGAUACACGUGUAGUC